AUUGAACGCUGGCGGCAUGCCUAACACAUGCAAGUCGAGCGGAUGAAGUGUGCUUGCUCCUGUAUACAGCGGCGGAGGGGUGAGGGAGGGCUAGGAAUCUGGCAGCUAGCUCGUGAUAAGGGCCGGAAAUGGGCGCUAAUACCUCAUACCUGCUGACGGAGUAUGUGGGAGAUCUGCGGAUCUAAAGCUAUUUGUUGAGACUAUGUGGGAUUAGCUAGUUGGUGGGGUAAAGGCCUACCAAGGCGACGAUCCGUAACUGGUCUGAGAGGAUGAUCAGUCACACUGGAACUGAGACACGGUCCAGACUCCUACGGGAGGCAGCAGUGGGGAAUAUUGGACAAUGGGCGAAAGCCUGAUCCAGCAAUGCCGCGUGAGUGAAGAAGGUCUUCGGAUUGUAAAGCACUUUUGGUAGGGAAGAAGGGCAGUAAGUUAAUAACUUGCUGUUUUGACGGUACCAAAAGAAUAAGCAACGGCUAACUUCGUG
rnacentral:rRNA from 1 species